rnacentral:rRNA from 1 species
AUUGAACGCUGGCGGCAUGCCUUACACAUGCAAGUCGAACGGUAACAGGUCUUCGGAUGCUGACGAGUGGCGAACGGGUGAGUAAUACAUCGGAACGUGCCCGAUCGUGGGGGAUAACGCAGCGAAAGCUGUGCUAAUACCGCAUACGAUCUACGGAUGAAAGCGGGGGAUCGCAAGACCUCGCGCGGACGGAGCGGCCGAUGGCAGAUUAGGUAGUUGGUGGGAUAAAAGCUUACCAAGCCGACGAUCUGUAGCUGGUCUGAGAGGACGACCAGCCACACUGGGACUGAGACACGGCCCAGACUCCUACGGGAGGCAGCAGUGGGGAAUAUUGCGCAAUGGGGGAAACCCUGACGCAGCGACGCCGUGUGAGCGAUGAAGGCCUUCGGGUCGUAAAGCUCUGUCAGAGGGAAAGAAGGGUCGGCGGAAUAAUACCCGCCGACAUUGACGGUACCCUCGGAGGAGCACCGGCUAACUCCGUGCCGAGCAGCCGAC